rnacentral:rRNA from 1 species
GAAAGUAGGAAAGGGCGCAUGGCGGAUGCCUUGGCUCUCGGAGGCGAUGAAGGACGUGAUAAGCUGCGAUAAGUCACGGGGAGGUGCAAAUAACCUUUGAUCCGUGAAUCUCCGAAUGGGACAACCCGAUAUCCUGAAGGGAUAUCACCUCAUCUAGUUGAGGAGCUAACGCAGGGAACUGAAACAUCUUAGUACCUGCAGGAAAAGAAAAUAACAAUGAUUCCCCCAGUAGUGGCGAGCGAACGGGGAAGAGCCCAAACCACACAUGUUACGGCAUGUGUGGGGUUGUAGGACCACGGCGUUGCAAGAACUCUUGUGAGAAGAACAGCCUGGAAAGACUGACCAGAGACGGUGACAGUCCGGUAUUCGAAGCAAGACGAAGCAUAGUGGUAUCCUGAGUAGCGCGGAACACGAGGAAUUCUGCGUGAAUCUGCCGGGACCAUCCGGUAAGGCUAAAUACUCCCGAGAGACCGAUAGUGGACCAGUACCGUGAGGGAAAGGUGAAAAGCACUUCGAACAGAAGAGUGAAAGAGUACCUGAAACCGUGCGCCUACAAGCGGUCGGAGCACGAAAGUGUGACGGCGUGCCUUUUGCAUAAUGAACCUACGAGUUACCGUAUCUGGCAAGGUUAAGGGUCACGAGACCUGCAGCCGAAGCGAAAGCGAGUCUGAAGAGGGCGUCGAGUCAGUUGCGGUAGACGCGAAACCAAGUGAUCUACCCUUGGCCAGGAUGAAGUCUGGGUAACACCAGAUGGAGGUCCGCACCAAUAAGCGUUGAAAAGCUUCUGGAUGAGCUGAGGGUAGGGGUGAAAGGCUAAUCAAACUUGGAGAUAGCUCGUACUCCCCGAAAUGCAUUUAGGUGCAGCCUCGCGGGUUACUGAUGUGAGGUAGAGCGACUGAUUGGAUGCGAGGGCUUCACCGCCUAUCAAGUCCUGACAAACUCCGAAUGCGCAUCAGUUUUACCGCGGGAGUGAGGGCAUGGGUGCUAAGGUCCGUGCCCGAGAGGAGAAGAAUCCGGACUAUCAGCUAAGGCCCCGAAAUGACAGCUAAGUUAAACUAACGAAGUCUGAUUGCUAAGACAGCUAGGAUGUUGGCUUGGAAGCAGCCAUUCAUUUAAAGAGUGCGUAACAGCUCACUAGUCGAGGAAUCGGGCGUGGAUAAUAAUCGGGUAUUAAGUUGUCUGCCGAAGCUAUAGAAUCAGCAAUGAUUGGUAGGGGAGCAUUCCAUUCUGCGUUGAAGGCGUGGCGUGAGCCAUUCUGGAGCGUAUGGAAAAGCAAAUGUAGGUAUAAGUAACGAUAAAGGGGGUGAGAAACCCCCUCGCCGAAAGACUAAGGUUUCCUGAUCAACGCUAAUCGGAUCAGGGUAAGUCGGGUCCUAAGGUUCAGCCGAACGGCGAGACCGAUGGCAGAAACGGUUAAUAUUCCGUUACUACCUUUGAGGGUGACGUGGGGACGCAGGAGUGACACCGCCGCCGGCUGACGGAAUAGCCGGUUAAAGAGUGUAGACGUUGAUUUCCGCAGGCAAAUCCACGGAAAGAGUCGAACUUGACAGUAUGGAACGUCCUUCGGGACAAUCCAAUAGUGCGGGUAAGCAGACUGCCUAGAAAAUCCGCUAAACAUAACUUCAGAGGUACCCGUACCGCAAACGGACACACGUAGUCGGGUUGAAUAUACUAAGGCGCUUGAGUGAAUCACGGUUAAGGAACUAGGCAAACUGACCCUGUAACUUCGGGAUAAAGGGUCCCUACCCAGAAAUGGGAGGGCGCAGAGAAUAGGUCCAGGCAACUGUUUAACAAAAACACAGGGCUGUGCCAAUAUGAAAGUAGACGUAUACAGCCUGACACCUGCCCGGUGCUGGAAGGUUAAGAGGAGAUGUCAUCGCAAGAGAAGCAUUGAAUUGAAGCCCCAGUAAACGGCGGCCGUAACUAUAACGGUCCUAAGGUAGCGAAAUUCCUUGUCGGGUAAGUUCCGACCUG